ACACAUGCAAGUCGAACGAAGCCUUGAGGGCUUAGUGGCGGACGGGUGAGUAACGCGUGAGAAUCUCCCUUCAGGAUGGGGACAACCGUUGGAAACGACGGCUAAUCCCCAAUGUGCCGCAAGGUGAAACGGGUUUCCGCCUGAAGAAGAGCUCGCGUCCGAUUAGUUAGUUGGUGAGGUAAGAGCUCACCAAGGCAGCGAUCGGUAGCUGGUCUGAGAGGAUGAGCAGCCACACUGGGACUGAGACACGGCCCAGACUCCUACGGGAGGCAGCAGUGGGGAAUUUUCCGCAAUGGGCGAAAGCCUGACGGAGCAACGCCGCGUGUGGGAAGAAGGCUCUUGGGCUGUCAACCACUUUUCUCAGGGAAGAAGAUCUGACGGUACCUGAGGAA
rnacentral:rRNA from 1 species